rnacentral:rRNA from 1 species
ACGGAAGGCAGCAGUCGGGAAUAUUGCGCAAUGGAGGGAACUCUGACGCAGUGACGCCGCGUAUAGGAAGAAGGUUUUCGGAUUGUAAACUAUUGUCGUUAGGGAAGAAAGAAAUGACAGUACCUAAGGAGGAAGCACCGGCUAACUAUGUGCCAGCAGCCGCGGUAAUACAUAGGGUGCGAGCGUUAUCCGGAUUUAUUGGGUGUAAAGGGUGCGUAGACGGGAAAUUAAGUUAGUUGUGAAAUCCCUCGGCUUAACUGAGGAACUGCAACUAAAACUGAUAUUCUUGAGUGUCGGAGGGGAAAGUGGAAUUCCUAGUGUAGCGGUGAAAUGCGUAGAUAUUAGGAGGAACACCAGUGGCGAAGGCGACUUUCUGGACGAUAACUGACGUUGAUGCACGAAAGUGUGGGGAGCAAACAGGAUUAGAUACCCUGGUA